UACGAAGGGGGCUAGCGUUGCUCGGAAUUACUGGGCGUAAAGCGCACGUAGGCGGCUCUUUAAGUCGGGGGUGAAAUCCUGGAGCUCAACUCCAGAACUGCCUUCGAUACUGUAGAGCUUGAGUUCGGGAGAGGGACGCGGAAUUCCAGGUGUAGCGGUGAAACGCGUAGAUAUCUGGAGGAACACCGGUGGCGAAGGCGGCGUCCUGGACCAAUACUGACACUGAUGAGCGAAAGCCAGGGGAGCAAACGGG
rnacentral:rRNA from 1 species